rnacentral:rRNA from 1 species
CAGCGGAGGAGUGGAGCGAGAUGGGUUCGAGGACCAUGCGGCAUAUACUCAUAUAAUGACGUGAGGAGGGGGGAUUGCCCCGGGCGCCUCGUGUGCCCCGGAUCAGGCGCCCGCCUAGGAAACUUAACUCUUGUUUUAUUUUGGAAUCUUCUGAGUAGUUUUUACAAAUAAAUAAAAACUUUCAACAACGGAUCUCUUGGUUCUGGCAUCGAUGAAGAACGCAGCGAAAUGCGAUAAGUAAUGUGAAUUGCAGAAUUCAGUGAAUCAUCGAAUCUUUGAACGCACAUUGCGCCCGCCAGUAUUCUGGCGGGCAUGCCUGUCUGAGCGUCAUUUCAACCCUCAUGCCCCUAGGGCGUGGUGUUGGGGAUCGGCCAAAGCCCGCGAGGGACGGCCGGCCCCUAAAUCUAGUGGCGGACCCGUCGUGGCCUCCUCUGCGAAGUAGUGAUAUUCCGCAUCGGAGAGCGAUGAGCCCCUGCCGUUAAACCCCCAACUUUCUAAGGUUGACCUCAGAUCAGGUAGGAAUACCCGCUGAACUUAAGCAUAUCAAUAAGCGGAGGAA